UAUAAGGUAUCUAGCAUCUACUCGCCGUCUUCCUGUGGGUCGGGCUCUAGAACCUGGUUCUCCUGAUCUGAAAUCGUUAAAUAAGGAAUGAGCUACACUAGCCCAGUAAGGACAUCACACUAAUCACCGUCACAGAAGCAAAGGUUGGUAGAAAAUUAAAACAACCAAUAGAGCAGUAGAUUUAAACAAGUUCAUUUAUAAAAAAUCAAACCAUUUACCCUCCACUUACCGCAGUGAAAUUUAUAAAAACAACCU
rnacentral:lncRNA from 1 species